rnacentral:rRNA from 1 species
AACGCGAAGAACCUUACCAGGACUUGACAUCCCGCGCAAGACUCUAGAGAUAGAGGGAUAGCUAUGGCGGAGACAGGUGGUGCAUGGUUGUCGUCAGCUCGUGUCGUGAGAUGUUGGGUUAAGUCCCGCAACGAGCGCAACCCUUAUCCUUAGUAGCCAUCAUUAAGUUGGGCACUUUAAGGAGACUGCCGAUGUAAAUCGGAGGAAGGUGGGGAUGACGUCAAAUCAUCAUGCCCCUUACGUCCUGGGCUACACACGUGCUACAAUGGACGGUACAAAGUGAUGCAAGCUAGUGAUAGCAAGCCAAGCACAUAAAACCGUUCUCAGUUCAGAUUGAAGUCUGCAACUCGACUUCAUGAAGACGGAAUCGCUAGUAAUCGCGAAUCAGCAAUGUCGCGGUGAAUACGUUCCCGGGCCUUGUACACACCGUAGAGAC